GACAGGCAGAGCUGUUACUGGGCUCUGGGUUAACCAUUUUGGGCUUGGAUGGCCACCGUAGUGGAGGAGCAGCGGCUCCCCCUCCCCUCUGUGUUGUGCUAGAAAUGCUAGUUAGCUCAGUAUAAAAGCAUGGAUAGCAUGCUGCUGUGUUGAGCUUGUGGUUUCCUUUGUUGCUGGGUCGUGUUACUGCAGGACUUGCUGCUGGGUGGUUUCCUAAGGGGUGGUCUGCCGGAAAACGGGUGUGAAUGCGGUUAGCGGUUAGCCGUUAGCAUCAGCUAACUCUGGGCAUCGUCGCAUAAAACUGCAGCUUGGUGUGGAUGUGGAGCUGUAUUGGAUGCAAGGUGUAUGCUCUGGCGUGCCGGAAAACGGGUGUGAACGCGGUUAGCGGUUAGCCGUUAGCAUCAGCUAACUCUGGGCAUCGUCGCAUAAAACUGCAGCUUGGUGUGGAUGUGGAGCUGUAUUGGAUGCAAGGUGUAUGCUCUGGCGUGCCGGAAAACAGAUUGGAGCAGGAACCCUGGGUGUAUUCUAGCCCAAGCAAGUGAUAAUUCAAGCCUACAGGUAUUGUUUGCUUGAUAGUUAUAGAGCUAACUCUCCCAAGCUAUCUGUCUAGUGCAAUUAUUUUAAUUAAUGUGUUUUUAUCAGGUGUUCAGCUGAAGUGUCGCCAUCGGAGAAGGCUGAGGUGGCACCAAGCCGAGCAGUCCCUAGUCUUCUGCUGUUUUGCCUAUGCUGUUUUGUUGGGGUUGAAUUAAUUUAAGAUUUAUUCAUUUAUUUUGUUCUUUUUAUUUCUGGGUGUUUAUUAUUUGUAUUAAAAAGACUGUUUUGUUUUCUUUUCUUUUUUUCCUUUUUUUUUGUUUCUGUUGGAAAUUGAUUUUGUUAUUUGUAUUUUUGUUAACUUGACCCCACCUUGUGUCAAUGGUGGCAGACCUCUUUGGGCCCUCCUAUAGGAAGCUGGCUGUUUAUUUGUUAGUGAUACUGGCCGUAAACUAAAUGGAAAAUUAAUAAGUAUAACAUUUAUUGUUACUAAUCUGUUUCUCUUUCUUGUAGAACAACUUGGUGCACGUGGUGUCCCCCUUGGGCCGACUGGUUACCUCCUCCUUGGGAAAUCUUUCCUUUUGCACUUGGUUUGCUGUGUUGGACUCACCCUUGGUUUGAGGUGUUGCGACGUGUGUGGGUGUGUGUGAGUACUCUGUGUGUGCUUGCAGAGGUUGUAUUUCUCCUUGGGAGAGAGGGCCCGGGCACAAGAAUUGUCCAGCACCAGUUAGCUACAGAAAGAUGAUAAUGCUAUGUUAAGACUCUAAACAGCCAGUAUCUCUAAUAUCCUUUUUUUUAAGCGCAUUUUGUCCCAAGGCUCAGUGUAUACUUUUAAAGUUGUUUUUUAAAAAAAAACUUUAAUUGCUUAAUAAAGUGUUCUUCUGUAUUUCAUGUAUCUACUAUUUCAAACUUGAAUAAGUAAAGAUUUUAUGCUGAACCUCA